rnacentral:lncRNA from 13 species
ACUUGCAGUUCCCACGGCGCACAGCCGCAAGCCACUCCGAAGGUUUCAUUGCCGAGUUGGGGGUGGCGUGUGCAAGGGUGGACUGAUUCCCACCGCGCUGGACGAAGCUUCAGGGGUGGCCGCAGCCAUCCUCCAAGUCCCACUUCUCUUAUUUCACCUUCUCUGUCUCUACCCAGCUCCUAGAGGCAGGAUGAGCACUGCUGGGUCCCAAACCCUCUCCUCAGGAGCCAGAGCUGCGGGGAGUGGAAAGUCGACUGGCAAGAACACACACGGAAAAAUGGGCAGAUGCAUCUGUCAAGGGGGCUGGGGGAAGGGCGCAUGCAAGAACUAAACCUGCAACUUGCACAGCACGGGGUGAGCACCGGGCAGGGAAGGGGUCACAAAAGUUUUCAGACUAUUGCACAGCAGCCGGCUGAAGGAGCAAAGAGGGUCGACUCUAUCUCUCCAGGCGGUCUCUCUAAGAGUCUGCGCAAAAGGGAUCAGGGGGCUUAGACAGGCACAGCUUAGAAGUGGGGUAACAGUUCUCCUCUACUUGUUCCUUGGAGGGACGGCCUAUGUACCUGGGCAGAGGGAUGAUCCCGCGCUCUGCGAAAAGCAACAGGCGGCUGCACCUUACCUUGCGCCAGUCCCGGGCCGGGGAGGCUGCUCCAUCCUCGUGGUUCAGGGAGGCGGCGUUGGCUGAGGACUCAAGAUGGCGCUGUGAGAACAACCCAGGAUUGGAGCUCUUCUCGUUGAAUCCGCAAACGGUGAGUCAGAGCGGCAUUUCCAGACUGUUCUUUGUGGCCCACAGAACGGGGAAACUCCCAAGUAUAAAAAAGACACGGGACGCCAGGCAGUAGGUCUGCCUGGCGAAGCCGGCAGCCGGGGCGGCGGCGGCCGGCCCUACCCAGCAAUCCCCACAGGGCGCGCUUGUCCAGGUGCCCUGUUGAACCGGCAACCUGAGACUUGAGAGGGCUGGACUUGACACUGAACGAGACUUGGACAGUAGGCCAGCCCAGGGGAUUGCAGGGAUUGGGAUACCCAGUGGGACGAAAAAAACCGCGAUUUCAAACUAUCCCGAGCAGACGGUCCGAGAUGCUCUGUGGGGGAGGGGCGUCCACCACUACCGAGGCAACCCACCCCAACUGAGAUACACGCCCACUGCUGACGCAGCCAGCCAUUGCCGAGGCAACCCGCCCCAACUGAGAUACACGCCCACUGCUGACACAGCCUGCCGUUGCUGAGGCAACACACUACAACGAAGAGACUCCGCCGCAGGGCGUGGCGGAGACCACAGCAGAGCCGGCAGGAACAGCGUGAAUCACAC